rnacentral:rRNA from 1 species
AGUGAACGCUGGCGGUAGGCCUAACACAUGCAAGUCGAACGGCAGCACAGUAAGAGCUUGCUCUUACGGGUGGCGAGUGGCGGACGGGUGAGGAAUACAUCGGAAUCUACUUUUUCGUGGGGGAUAACGUAGGGAAACUUACGCUAAUACCGCAUACGACCUACGGGUGAAAGCAGGGGAUCUUCGCACCUUGCGCGAUUGGAUGAGCCGAUGUCGGAUUAGCUAGUUGGCGGGGUAAAGGCCCACCAAGGCGACGAUCCGCAGCUGGUCUGAGAGGAUGAUCAGCCACACUGGAACUGAGACACGGUCCAGACUCCUACGGGAGGCAGCAGUGGGGAAUAUUGGACAAUGGGCGCAAGCCUGAUCCAGCCAUACCGCGUGGGUGAAGAAGGCCUUCGGGUUGUAAAGCCCUUUUGUUGGGAAAGAAAAGCAGCAGGUUAAUACCCCGCUGUUCUGACGGUACCCAAAGAAUAAGCACCGGCUAACUUCGUG